AUUGAACGCUGGCGGCAUGCCUUACACAUGCAAGUCGAACGGUAACAGGUCUUCGGAUGCUGACGAGUGGCGAACGGGUGAGUAAUACAUCGGAACGUGCCUAGUAGUGGGGGAUAACUACUCGAAAGAGUGGCUAAUACCGCAUGAGAUCUACGGAUGAAAGCAGGGGAUCGCAAGACCUUGUGCUACUAGAGCGGCCGAUGGCAGAUUAGGUAGUUGGUGGGAUAAAAGCUUACCAAGCCGACGAUCUGUAGCUGGUCUGAGAGGACGAUCAGCCAAACUGGGACUGAGAGACGGCCCAGACUCCUACGGGAGGAAGCAGGGGGGAAUUUUGGACAAUGGGCGCAAGCCUGAUCCAGCAAUGCCGCGUGCAGGAUGAAGGCCUUCGGGUUGUAAACUGCUUUUGUACGGAACGAAAAGCCCUGGGUUAAUACCCUGGGGUCAUGACGGUACCGUAAGAAUAAGCACCGGCUAACUACGUGCCAGCCGCCGCCGUAACAC
rnacentral:rRNA from 1 species